AGAACGAACGCUGGCGGCAGGCCUCAAACAUGCAAGUCUAGGGGGGCGUAGCAAUACGUCACCGGCGGACGGGUGCGUAACACGUGGGAAUGUACUUACUGGUUCGGAACAACUCAGGGAAACUUGAGCUAAUACCGAAUGUGCCCGAAAGGGGAAAGAUUUAUCGCCAGUAAAUCAGCCCGCGUCCGAUUAGCUAGUUGGCGGGGUAAAGGCCCACCAAGGCGACGAUCGGUAGCUGUUCUGAGAGGAAGAUCAGCCACACUGGGACUGAGACACGGCCCCAGACUCCUACGGGAGGCAGCAGUUGGGAAUCUUGGACAUGGGGAAACCCUGAUCCAGCCAUGCCGCGUGAGUGAUGAAGGCCUUCGGGUUGUAAACUCUUUCGGACGGGACGAUAAUGACGGUACCCGUAGAAGAGCUCCGGCUAACUUCGUGCCAGCAGCCGC
rnacentral:rRNA from 1 species